rnacentral:rRNA from 1 species
UACAGAGGAGCCAAGCGUUGUCUGGAUUGACUGGGCGUAAAGCGCACGCAGGCGGACGCGCGCGUGGGGUGUGAAAUCUGGCCGCUUAACGGCCAGGCGCCAUCCCAUACGGCGCGUCUGGAGUGAUGCAGAGGUCGAUGGAAUUGCCGGUGUAGUGGUGAAAUGCGUAGAGAUCGGCAGGAACACCCAGGGGGAAACCAGUCGACUGGGCAUCUACUGACGCUGAGGUGCGAGAGCGUGGGGAGCGAACCGG